rnacentral:misc_RNA from 1 species
UCCCCGUUGCCGGGGCAGUCUGACUAGAAAAAUACAACUAGCCAUAAGGGUUGCGCUCGUUGCGGGACUUAACCCAACAUCUCACGACACGAGCUGACGACGGCCAUGCAGCACCUGUCACUAGGUUCCCGAAGGCACUUUCUCCUUUCGGAGAAAUUCCUAGGAUGUCAAGUCCGGGUAAGGUUCUUCGAUUAUCAUCGAAUUAAAGAACACGCUCCACCGCUUGUGCGGGUCCCCGUCAAUUCCUUUGAGUUUUAAUCUUGCGACCGUACUCCCCAGGCGGGAUGCUUAACGCGUUAGCUUCGCUACAGGACGGGUCGAGCGCCCUACAGCUAGCAUCCAUCGUUUACGGCGUGGACUAC